rnacentral:ncRNA from 1 species
UUAAAAGUUUUAUUUAAACUUAAAUGGCUAUAUAAGUCUUAAAAUUACAUGUAAAUUUUGGUUUAAAUAAAAAUAAUUAAGCAGUAAUUAAUUUUAAAAAUUUUUUUAUUGAAGAUUUAGUUAUGGAAUUUAGUUCUAACAAAUUUUGUGCCAGCAGUUGCGGUUAUACAAUUAGAAGCAGUAUAGUUUUUUAAAUUAUUAAUAAAUUUGGAUUUUAUUAAUUAUUAUUAAGGUAAAAUUAGGUGAAAUUAUUUUAUUUGAAUUGUAUUUAAUAUGUGAUUAUUAAGAAAUUUUUUGUUUAGACAAGGAUUAGAUACCCUUUUAUUUUGAAUGUUAAUUUAGUUGAUUGAUUAGUAUUAGUUAUGUUCUUGAAAUUUAAAAAUUUUGGCGGUAUUUUAGACUAGUUAGAGGAAUCUAUCCUGUAAUUGAUAAUACACGAUAAUUUUUACUUUAAUUUGCUUGUAUAUCGUUGUUGUUAAAAAUUUUAUUAAAAUUUUAAUUUUUAAGUUUUUAAUUAGAAAAUAAUUCAAAUCAAGGUGCAGCUUUUUAAAGGAUGAGAUGGAUUACAUUUAAUUUAUUUUAGGAAGAUAUUAAUAAAGGUUAAUUUGGAAUUUGGAUUUAAAAGUAAUUUAAAUUUUUUAAUUUAUUUGAUUAAAGCUCUUAAAUAUGUACAUAUCGCCCGUCGCUUUCAUUAUUAAUUUGGAAUAAGUCGUAACAUAGUAGAUUUACUGGAAGGUGAAUCUAGAAAGA